UGUAAGCGUAUACCAAAGUUGUUGCAGUUAAAACGCUCGUAGUCGGACUUUGGCAGUUCCGGAUGUGUGCACGUCGUGUGCGCACUUCGCGGGGAUUGCUUUUGUGGUCUUGCGUAGGAUGAGGCACUUUUAUUAGUGAACGUCCUCACGCAACCACUUUUUACUGUGAGAAAAUCAGAGUGCUCAAAGCAGGCAUUUGCCGUGAAUGUAUUAGCAUGGAAUAAUAGAAUAGGACUUGGUUCUAUUUUGUUGGUUUGUUGGGACUGAGUAAUGAUUAAGAGGGACAGUUGGGGGCAUUUGUAUUUCGGUGCUAGAGGUGAAAUUCUUAGAUUACCGAAAGACAAACUGCUGCGAAAGCGUCUGCCAAGGAUGUUUUCAUCGA
rnacentral:rRNA from 1 species